CCUUUAGCCCCCUUUCCAUGCCAAAUGAUGGUUGCAGCUCCUUUGUCGGCUGAAUCUUGCUUUAUUGUACUGCUGUGUCGACAAAAGCUUCUCUUUAAACUCUUAAAUUUCCCUGCAAUUUCGAUCUUAAGUUACAUCCUUUUGGGCUGCAGUGAGCUUUCUCUUUCUUUUUGCUUAUCCCACUCUUGAGCUUCCAACUCCAAGUUUUGAGUACUGCACUGCCUUCAAUGGUGUUGCAUUGGGAAUUGUUUUUGCAUAAUUUGAAGAAGAAAGUGAAAAAUCGAGCCUUUGUGGAAGGAUCUAUAUGCGAGCCAUACGUUAUUGAGGAAGUCUCAUUGUUUUGCUCUUUGUAUUUUGAACCUGCUAUGCGAAUAAGAUUAAA